rnacentral:rRNA from 1 species
GACGAACGCUGGCGGCGUGCUUAACACAUGCAAGUCGAACGGAAAGGCCCUGCUUGCAGGGUACUCGAGUGGCGAACGGUUGAGUAACACGUGGGUGAUCUGCCCUGCACUUCGGGAUAAGCUUGGGAAACUGGGUCUAAUACCGGAUAGGAACCAUCUUUAGUGUGGUGGUUGGAAAGUUUUUUCGGUGUAGGAUGAGCUCGCGGCCUAUCAGCUUGUUGGUGGGGUAAUGGCCUACCAAGGCGGCGACGGGUAGCCGGCCUGAGAGGGUGUACGGCCACAUUGGGACUGAGAUACGGCCCAGACUCCUACGGGAGGCAGCAAUGGGGAAUAUUGCACAAUGGGCGCAAGCCUGAUGCAGCGACGCCGCGUGGGGGAUGAAGGCCUUCGGGUUGUAAACUCCUUUCGCUAGGGACGAAGCUUUGUUGUGACGGUACCUAGAUAAGAAGCACCGGCUAACUACGUG